UGUCUUCAGGAGUUUGACUGUUCUAUUUGUUCCUUUAUUGAAACAGGGUCUCAUGUAGCCCAGGCUGACCUCACAUUGUAGCCAAGGAUGACCAUGGCUCCAACUCCCUGGAGCUUAGCCACAGGCUGCCAGACUGUGCCUCUUUUUCACUGUUUAUUUGAGGGUCAGACUGGACACCAUUGUCACUGAUCACCAAGGCCACCCUCCCACCACCCAUUUUCACAGAAGCCAUCCUCUGCCUCCUACCCUUUCAGGAAGUCUCUGCAGGAAAUGGGCUCCAGCCUCACUUCCUGCCACUGAACCCCCACCCCCACCCCUAGCUCUUCUCAGGAAGGGCCCUGUGCUGCAGGCUCCCCCAGCCCUCUCGUGACCCAGAGUCACCAGGCUGGGCACGAUGGCCCCGAGGAUCUGAGUCCUUGAUGUUUGUUUCUUCUGUUUUAAAUGAUUUAUUUUUAUUUCAUGUGCAUUGGUGUUUUGCCUGCGUGCAUGUCUCUGUGAGUGUGUUGGUUCCCCUGGAACUGGAGUUAUAGGCAUUUGUGAGCUACCAUGUGGGUGCUGGGAAUUGAACCCAGGUCAUCCAGAAGAGCAGCUGUGCUCUCAACCACUGAGCCCUGUCUCCAGCCCCUUGUGAUAUUGUUGUUGUUGUUGUUUGUUUGUUUGUUUUGCUGUGUGACCCAGUUACCCUGGAACUUAGAUCCUCCUGCCUCUGCCCCUCAGUGCAAAAAUUAAGUGCCUGGCUGUAUUUUGAUUUUUGGGUGAAUUUUGGAGACAUGUCUAAUGUAGUCCAGGCUGACCUCAGACUGUAGCUGAGAAUAAUCUAAAACUCCUUAUUCCCCUGCCUCAGCCUCCCUGGUACUGGGGCAACUGGUAUGUUGGUCUUUAUGGUGCUGGCACUGGAAGAUAUAGUGUCACCAGCCUUGCUGUCACCUUGUCCUAUACCAGACCUCAGCCCUUCCCACCUGGGACCCGGGGGACUCAAAUCAUCCCUUUUGGACGCACAGGUACAGGGUGUGGAGCAGAAAUGCCAGGCAGGUGUGCAGCCCUGGGCAUUCAGAAGGCUGUGGCCAGCAUAGGCUGUAUGACAAGGCUCUGCCUCAGAAAACCUACCAGGUUGCUACCUCCACACAUUGGACUGUGCCCCCUUCUGUGUUUCUAGGUGACAGGAGUUGUGGAGAAAUGACCAAAAUGGUCCGGGAUGUCCAGGUGGCCAACACCUGUAGAAUGGGAUGAUGCGAGGUCACACAGCCGUGUGCAUUGGGUAGCCAUGCCCAGGUUGUCCCUGAAUUGGGGGACACUCCUCACACUGACAUUUGCCUUCCAGCUUCCCUUGUCGCUGCUGAAGACAGCCCAGAAUCACCCCAUGGUAAGCAAGGCUACUCUGGGCCACCUCCCUUCAUGUGCCCUCACCCUAGUCCUUUGCAGUUUACGCUUGAAGCCUGGUACGAUGGCUCAGUGGGUAGAGGUGCCUGCUGCCAAGCUGCAGGACCUGAAUUCAAUCCCCAGGACUCACACGAUGGUGGAAGGGAGUCAUGGCUUCCCUCUCUGCACACAGACAGAAAUGCAAUACAAAGUAAAAUGUCUAAGGAAAAUCUUUUAAAAGUAGUGUCAGGAAGAAACUGGGGCACAGUGCAACCCAUGUAUUCCCUGUCCCAUCCCAAGAGUCCCCAGCACAGACAGGUCACCUGUCAUCCCAGCUGCCUGGGAG
rnacentral:lncRNA from 1 species